rnacentral:snRNA from 1 species
GUGCUCACUUAUGCAGCACAUAUACUAAAAUUGGAACAAUGCAGAGAAGAUUAGUAUGGGCUCUGCGCAAGGAUGACAUGCAAGUUUGUGAAGUGCUCCAUUAAAAA